rnacentral:rRNA from 1 species
UACGGAAGAUCCAAGCGUUAUCCGGAAUUACUGGGCGUAAAGAGUUGCGUAGGUGGCAGGUAAAGCGAACAGUGAAAGGCUCCGGCUCAACCGGAGAUACAUUGUUCGAACUCACCAGCUAGAGCACAGCAGAGGUACCUGGAAUUCCCAGUGUAGGAGUGAAAUCCGUAGAUAUUGGGAGGAACACCGAUGGCGUAGGCAGGGUACUGGGCUGUUGCUGACACUAAGGCACGAAAGCGUGGGGAGCGAACGGG